AUGGAGAAGAUGCGGGCAGCAGGGGAGGCGCCGCCGACGCAGCAGCUGCCUCCGGGGUUCCGGUUCCACCCCACCGACGUGGAGCUGCUGCUGCAGUACCUCCGCCGCAUGGCCCUGGACCGCCCGCUGCCCGCCGCCGUCAUCCCCGUCGUCCACGCCGCCGCCAUGCCCGACCCCUGGGACCUCCCCGGCGCGAGCGAGGGGGAAUCGGCUUACUUCUUCAGCCAGAGGCAAGGCCGUGGCGGGCGGCGGAGGAGAGCGACCGGAGGGUACUGGAAGGCCACGGGGAAGGAGAAGCCGGUGUUCGUGCAGCUGCCGGUUGGCAAGCGGCUGCUCGUCGGCGUCAAGACGGCGCUGGCCUUCCACCGCGGCAAGUCGCGCACGGACUGGGUCAUGCACGAGUACCGCCUCGCCGGCGCGGCGGACCAGAACAAGCGUGCCAAUGGCGGCUCGCAGAGCAGCGAAUGGGUCGUGUGCCGGGUGUCUAUGAAAAGCAGAGCAAGGAGGUCGGCAGCGGGCGGCGAGACGACCGGCGAUCACCAGCAGGAGCAGCCAUCACCGUCGCCGUCUUCGACGUCGAGCUGCGUCACGGACCACACUUGUCACGCCCCAGACCAAGAAGAGGUCAGCAGCAGCACUAGCCAUUGCCAGCAGCAUCCGACACGCUAA
rnacentral:rRNA from 1 species